rnacentral:pre_miRNA from 1 species
UUUGUACUCCCUCUGUUCGGAAUUACUUGUCACAAAAAUGGAUGUAUCUACAACUAAAAUACAUUUAGAUACAUUCAUUUCUUGGACGAGUAAUUCCGAACGGAGGGAGUAUUUG